GACAAAGAUGAAAAGUGUGAAUAGGAAGUGCCGUCUGAUGCGACAACUGACGAUGUUUCUCAAUCACUGGUCUGAGU